UACAGAGGUCUCAAGCGUUGUUCGGAUUCAUUGGGCGUAAAGGGUGCGUAGGUGGCGCCGUAAGUCAGGUGUGAAAUCUCGGGGCUUAACUCCGAAACUGCAUUUGAUACUGCGGUGCUUGAGGACUGGAGAGGAGACUGGAAUUCAUGGUGUAGCAGUGAAAUGCGUAGAGAUCAUGAGGAAGACCAGUGGCGAAGGCGGGUCUCUGGACAGUUCCUGACACUGAGGCACGAAGGCCAGGGGAGCAAACGGG
rnacentral:rRNA from 1 species